GGUCCCAGCGUGUACGCUCUAGGUACGCCGCAACUCGCAAUGAGUAUGCGACGUCCCGGGAGUGCGAGUCAACAUAUUAAAAAAUUCGUCAACCAUCUUCCCUAAAUUUAUAAAAAUAAAUUUUCACUUUCAUUACGCCUUUAGGUAUUAUAUGUACCCAAUGACUUGCGCACAUGCUAGACUCCUUGGUCCGUGUUUCAAGACGGGUCCUGAGAACAACCCAAAACAUUAUCAUCGUUAACGGAUGGUAAGUAAGACCAUUAUUAUUCAAGAACAUCAUAACCAACAGUAAAAUACGCGCAAAAUCGGCACAAAGUCCAUAUUCUACUGACCGUAUAUUAAACUUGUCAUGAGUCAAGAACGCAUAAAUAUGUGCGGCCUACCAUCAAUUUAUUAUACCAUCGUGUAGAUGUCGGGACACCACAUGUUCGAAAACGCACAAUAAAUUUAAUAAAAAAAAUAUUGUCGUUCCGGUCUACAAUGUGAACCUUAGACAACGAUACUCAAUGGGUUACGAUGUCCUACAAGGAGAGAAGUGCAUGCCUCCAAUAUUAUACAAAUUAUUACAACAGUGGAGCAUAACAUACAGACUACGUACCCUGCCGAAACAGAAUGUACGCACGCAUAUUACGUCUCAAUUAAAAACAACUGUCAGUAAUGUCAAUACUGGUAAGGCAAAUGAAUCUCUCCGUUCGAACUUUCGGGCUUCUCAGGUUUACCCCUGAACGGUUUCACGUACUCUUGAACUCUCUCUGCAAAGUUCUUUUCAACUUUCCCUCACGGUACUUGUUUGCUAUCGGUCUCGUGGUUAUAUUUAGCCUUAGAUGGAGUUUACCACCCACUUAGAGCUGCACUCUCAAGCAACUCGACUUUAAGGAGAAACCCACCUAAAUAUAUUGUAUGGUCACUACGGGCCUGGCACCCUCUUUGGGCGAACGGGCCCCCUUCAAGAAGGACUUGGACGCAUCAACAAAUAAUUAGGUUAAACGGGCUCUCCCAAACACUACAUUGCCCAGCGACCGAUUACGAUCGCGGGCUUCAGUGCUGGGCUUCUCCCUGUUCGCUCGCCGCUACUAAGGGAAUCCU
rnacentral:rRNA from 1 species